UACGAAGGGGGCUAGCGUUGUUCGGAAUUACUGGGCGUAAAGCGUACGUAGGCGGAUUGUUAAGUGAGGGGUGAAAUCCCAAGGCUCAACCUCGGAACUGCCUUUCAUACUGGCAAUCUUGAGUCCGGGAGAGGUGAGUGGAACUCCUAGUGUAGAGGUGAAAUUCGUAGAUAUUCGCAAGAACACCAGUGGCGAAGGCGGCUCACUGGCCCGGUACUGACGCUGAGGUGCGAAAGCGUGGGGAGCAAACAGG
rnacentral:rRNA from 1 species